UACGUAGGGGGCAAGCGUUGUCCGGAAUCAUUGGGCGUAAAGAGCGUGUAGGCGGCCCGAUAAGUCCGCUGUGAAAGUCCAGGGCUCAACCCUGGGAUGCCGGUGGAUACUGUCGGGCUCGAGUCCGGAAGAGGAGUGUGGAAUCCUGGUGUAGCGGUGAAAUGCGCAGAUAUCAGGAGGAACACCAAUGGCGAAGGCAGCACUCUGGGACGUGACUGACGCUGAGACGCGAAAGCGUGGGGGAGCAAACAGG
rnacentral:rRNA from 1 species